CCAUGGUUACGUCAGACGGGCUGCAGGGUUGUGAUCUCCGCCCCUCUGCUAUGUGCCAACUCGCCACACGGUGGCAGUCGUCUGCCGUUGUUCACUGACGCCUCUGGUCUCCCAUAGCAACUCGAUCCCGGAUGUCCCGCGUCCCACCGCGAUUCCUUUGUCCGGGUCGGUGCUUGGAGUUUCUCAAUGUCUCUCAGAAGCAACAAGAAAGCCUAUAAAACAAGCCAGGAAGCACCCAACACCACAAGCCACAGCAACCCAGUGGUGAAGCAAGUAUGCAUCAUAGACUCUGCAGCCACACACCCCCAGCAGGAGAACGCCCCAGCCCCGCCAUGGACACCAUGAUAUGGACCCAUAUUUGGAGCAGUUCUUGAGGAGGUGCUGCCUGUGGGAAGCCCGUGAAGGAUCAGUUUUGGAAGGACUGUAUCUCAUGGAAGGGACCCCACAUUGGAGCAAGCAACUCGAUCCCGGAUGUCCCGCGUCCCACCGCGAUUCCUUUGUCCGGGUCGGUGCUUGGAGUUUCUCAAUGUCUCUCAGGAUGUGAUUUUAGUUACUCAGCUCCUGCCACCUCUUAUCAACAUUCAAUUAUACUCUGCUUCAUGAUCUGCUGCCUACUCCUAUUGGAAUGAACCUUACCUUGGUGAAGAAAUUACUGUUACAUGAAGACUUAAAGUGGCUGAUGAAACAAGUUCAAGAAAAUGGAUGAAAGACUCUGAUUACCGUCCAUCAUGAUAUAGAAGAAAUACAUUGAGUGAUGGAAACAGUAAGGAAAGGUGAAAAACACGACUGGUGGGACACUUUGUUUAGAUGGUCGCCACAGGAAUCUUCAACAAGAUGCUUCACCCUGUUGUCAUUUUGUUAAUGUUCACUGUAUUAUGCUUUAUGCUGACAGUUAGUUUGUAUGUUAAACUCUGGAUUAUGAUGAAAUGUUUAGCAUCCCUGCACAAUGUACAUACACUUGAUAAACCUCAUCCCGAGAAUGUAUGUGAUAUCCCCAACAUAUUCCAAAUGUCAUGAAGCUUGAGUGACUAUAGUCACGGGGUGGAUUAUGUGGUGCAAUUGCCCAAAGUUACUAGGAAAAUAAAAGUAACAUUCACAUUUUAAAGAAAAUUUACAGCACUGAAGAGGCUUUCAGGGUAGGGCAUAGCUGCAUUACCUGAGCGUUCCCUAGACUUCCAACCUUAGAUGCUAUCGUGCUGGGGAAACCUGGUGUGCUAGCUCUAAGGAACAGUACAGAGUGUAGAGUGGAGUGGAGACACCACGGCUAGGCUCUGUGACCAGGUGGGGACGUGAUUGUUCUGCACACCGAGACUGAUAAGCUGCACUUUUUGCUACCCUGAGCCAAGGACCUGUCAUGUUUUGACAAAUGCUGUACCCUAGUGUACUUUUGCUCAUUAUAAUAUCAUUAUAAUACCAAAACGCACCUCCAUCCAAAAAGCUACCCGCCUCCAAGGUGCGACCACCCCUCACUGAGCAUGCGCUUUGAAUUUCUCAGAGCCUAUACCUUUAAACGAAGAUGGAAAACUUUUCACCAAUCAUAACUAAGAUAUGCUUGACUAGAGUCACUCUAGCUCCACCCGAAAGAUAGAAAAUAAUAUAAAGUGGCCUAAGAGAGAGGGGAUGUUAGGGAAGAUACCAUCACGAGGACCUCCUGACUUCUGGGAUCAGUCGACGGGCUGAGCCUCUCUUCCCCCCCCUAUUGGGCCACCUUUGGGUGAGAUUUGAACACUUGGUUAUACUGGGUGUCUCCGCGGAAACUUAGAAAUCUUUACAGAGUCUUUGUACCUUUUAACGCAUUAAUUUCCAGGCUGUGCACCUGUGUAUUUCAUGCAUGCUAGCUUGCUUUUGCAGACAGUAAAUUAUCGCCGGCAAUUCAAAGAACCUGUGUACCUGUUGCUGUAAUAAAUUGCACUUGAUUGCA